AACAACACAGAGUUGGUGCAGAGCUACCGGCAGCAGAUUGGGAACGUGGUGAACCAGGCCAACCUGCAGCUCUUCUGGAACAUGUACAACAGCCGCAGAGACCUGGACAUUAACCGGCCUGGAACGGUGCCCAAUGCCAAGACGCUCCGGUGAGUGGCCCCUGGCCCUCUGGCCUGCCCUGGCCUUUGCCCCCAUGACCCAGCCAGACAGCCCUUUUCCUCUGUAUCUGCAGCUGCCCUGUGAUGCUGGUGGUUGGGGAUAAUGCACCCGCUGAGGACGGGGUGGUGGAGUGCAACUCCAAACUGGACCCGACCACUACGACCUUCCUGAAGAUGGCAGACUCUGGAGGGCUGCCCCAGGUCACACAGCCAGGGAAGCUGACUGAAGCCUUCAAAUACUUCCUGCAAGGCAUGGGCUACAUGCCCUCAGCCAGCAUGACCCGCCUGGCGCGCUCCCGCACUGCAUCCCUCACCAGUGCCAGCUCGGUGGAUGGCAGCCGCCCACAGGCCUGCACCCACUCGGAGAGCAGCGAGGGGCUGGGCCAGGUCAACCACACC
rnacentral:sRNA from 1 species